UUUCGGCACGCAAAAGACGAGCGGGAUCCAUUUUCCAACAACAGAAUUCUUAAAAUAUAAUUAGGAAACACGCCUCCCAGUCCAAGAUGAUUGCAAUAAAAGUUUUAACAAGACAUAAACUACAACCGUGCGGGAAAGAUAUGUUGUUAAAUGAGCAUUACGGUACCUCUUGAGAAAGAUUUAUUUGACCUAAGAGGGUCAAAGUUACAGGUCAGACCUUGAGUGGCAUCGGCCAGACUGUGAGGCAGACUCUACACACGGAUCGGUGGGAAAAGGGUGGCGUAAACUCUUAUCUGAAUACGUGAAAUAGGCUUUUUGAGUAGACGGGAUCCCUGCUCAUUUUUUUACGGGACUUGCGAGAUUCCAAAGGGACGGAAGAAAUUUUUGGAGAAACGUUUUCACCAAAAUAACAGGAGAAGCACAUGUGAAUAGCUUUUCAGUCAUUGUAACAGUCCACAAGUAAAAGAUGGCGACCACUAUCCAACGCUCGAGCUGUGUCCUUGGUUGCACUCGAGUGAAUUCUGUGGAAUAAAGGAAUCGAAUUGUAAGGAGUGCGCGACUUCAUGUCUCAAAAAAGGCCCGAAAAUCAGUGAUGCCGUCCACGCCAGAGGAGCGGUCUGGAGGAUUGAGUCUCCCAGGUUCCUGACCUUCCUCUCACAGGUCAAAGUGGGAGGCUCCCAGCCCACUCAAAGCUGGGAGACUGAUGACACAGACCCCGGAUGUUUCAGCAACCCAGGUCCUCCCACUUUACCAAGCGAUGGAAUUUGGCGAAGACAGAGAGGUGUUUGUAAAUGUCUUCGACAUCGUUUGCAAAUGGCAAUCCAAACGUCCAUAUUGUGCCAUAGGAAGAAACCACAAACUUCCAGAAAUUUUUUUUAAAAUCAGUAAUUGCUAACGUUGUGACAUGACGGCCUGUAUUUCUCAAAAACAGUCUAGAUUCUGCUGAUGGGUGUUCGGAAAAUUGCAUUAUUGUGAGAUGAAUCAAACCACCGGAGAAAUAUAUAGCCACAGUGAUGCCCCCUAACACAUUAUUGCGCGUAACCAGGAGAACACGUCGUCCAAUAAACGAAAUUGUUCUGUAUUUAAAGGGU